CUUCACCGAGCCCAUCAGCAACGGCCGUCCCUCGGGGCGCCCUUGGCCGUACGUCGCCAGCACUGCCUGCGCCUC
rnacentral:antisense_RNA from 1 species